rnacentral:rRNA from 1 species
CGCACGGGUGAGUAACACGUAUCCAACCUGCCGUCUACUCUUGGACAGCCUUCUGAAAGGAAGAUUAAUACAAGAUGGCAUCAUGAGUCCGCAUGUUCACAUGAUUAAAGGUGUUCCGGUAGACGAUGGGGAUGCGUUCCAUUGGAUAGUAGGCGGGGUAACGGCCCACCUAGUCUUCGAUGGAUAGGGGUUCUGAGAGGAAGGUCCCCCACAUUGGAACUGAGACACGGUCCAA